GUGUGGUCUUCCGAGAUGGAAGGACACUUACAGGUUUUUUAAGAAGCAUUGAUCAGUUUGCUAACUUAGUCCUGCAUCAGACUGUGGAGCGCAUUCACGUGGGCAGAAAGUACGGUGAUAUUCCUCGAGAGAUUUUUGUGGUCAGAGGAGAAAAUGUGGUCCUGCUAGGAGAAAUACUCUCGGGAGUCAGAGCCAGGCGGAUCUCUGAGUUCAGGGCCAGCCUGGUCUACAGAGCGAGAUCCAGGACAGGCACCAAAACUACACAGAGAAACCCUGUCUCGAAAAACCAAAAAAACAAAACAAAACAAAAAAAAAAACAGAUUAUGUAAGUCAGCAGUCAGUCUGAAGAAAUGACAUAUUAAAGCCCAAGAGAACUCAUAACCAGCGUAUCUUUAGAGAAGCAUUGUUGAAGACAUCUCUAGUGGUACCCCAUGGUGGCACAUGCCUGUGAUAUCAGAAGUGUGGAGACUGAGGCAGAAGAUUUCAAGUUUAUGGCCAGUCUGCACAAGACCUUAUUCCAAAAAGAAAACAAAGUGCCUGGAUUCUGUGGAUGAUGAAGGAUCCCAGCCCUAAGAACCUUUUCUUUAAAAGGUUACCCCAUUGUGGUCAUCAUUAGUAGUUCCGCGGGUGAAAUACCGUGAAAAGCCCAGGAAAGCAGAGCCAAGCCAUUGUCUUUUCUUCACUCCAGGGUUACGAGGGAAGGGGUUAGGUGAUCAUGUGUAGUUUUUAGCAGAUAACCUUUGACCCGGGUAACUUAUGCAACUUGUGUGGCUUCUUCUAACCUCCUGCUGAGAGUCCUUCCUCUGAUACCAUGACAGCUGAGCUCUGAGACCUUGGAGGCAUGUGUCAGUUAUUAUCCAGACUGAAACAUCUGCAGAUUUUUUUUUCUGGUCGGUGUCUUUCCAAACCACCUCAUCAAAAGUCAUGAAAGGGACUGGAAGGACGGCUAUCAAUAACUGAGUGCUUACUGCUUCCCUAGCUCUUCGGGAGAACCUGAGUUCAGUUCCCAGCACCCAUAGACGGUAGCUCAUACCUGACUAACUCCAGCUCCAGAAGAUAUGACAUCCUUGUCUGGUCUCUGCCCACAUCCCUGGCUAGGCAUAAAUUAAAAAAAAAAAAGUCACAGAGGGUAAGCAGCUCAUCUGUAAUCCCAGCAUUCACUAGAGGAGGUCAAUGAGUAGAGGCCAGCCUGGGCGUUAUAUAGUGAGUUCUAGGACAGACAUUUUUUGCUGUAUAACAAAGAUCCUGACUGGGAGGAGUUGUGGGGAGGGGGCAGAAAUAUAUUGCUGCUUUAUCUAUGUAGGCUUUCCAUGUUACAGAUAAUUCCUAUACAUUUUAAAAAUGAUAAAAUCUGUGUUUAGUGAGGCUCGUUUAUGGUUCUGCAUUACAAGAUUGGUUAUUAAAUGUUUAUGACAAAUAAUAAGUAUAUUAUGCUGUGUUAAAUGAAAAUAAAAUUGACA